rnacentral:sRNA from 1 species
UAACCUUGUUGAAGACUGCAUCGGAAAAUACCAACAAAGGGAGAGAACUUUGGAAGAAAGGGCCAUCUUUGCAACAGGCUUUCAGCUUUUCUCUAGUGAGAGGAACCUAAGCAUUUGCAAACCCUGAAGAGAAAGUAAUCAGGUACCUUGAGCAAUUCUGAUCAUCAUCCUGUGUCAUUUUUGUACCUGUCACCUGAAUCUGAAAGCUACAUUUAAAAAAAAUUUUGCUUUAAGUUCUGAGAUACAUGUGCUGAAUGUGCCAGUUUGUUACAUAGGUAUACAUGUGCCGUGGUGGUUUGCUGCACUUAUCAUGAAAGUUAUAUUGAAGCUUGUUUUCCUUUUCAAUCCAUCUGAAUUAAUAUGUUCAUAUAUGGGUCAUGUCUGUUGACACUUUUCCAUCUGGAGCAACUGUUCCAGCCUUCUUCCCUGUGCCUCAUAUAACCUAAGUGUGAGUAGAGUGAAAAAAAAUGUACACCGCUAUGACUGUACUAGCCAUCUCACACAGAAUCAGAGAAAAAUGAUUUCUGAAAUAUAUAGAUAUUUAAAAUAAAAAGAAUUAUUGAAUAUUAA